rnacentral:rRNA from 1 species
UAGGGAAUCUUCCGCAAUGGACGAAAGUCUGACGGAGCAACGCCGCGUGAGCGAAGAAGGCCUUCGGGUCGUAAAGCUCUGUUGUCAGGGAAGAACAAGUGCCGGAGUAACUGCCGGCACCUUGACGGUACCUGACCAGAAAGCCACGGCUAACUACGUGCCAGCAGCCGCGGUAAUACGUAGGUGGCAAGCGUUGUCCGGAAUUAUUGGGCGUAAAGCGCGCGCAGGCGGCCUCUUAAGUCUGAUGUGAAAGCCCACGGCUCAACCGUGGAGGGUCAUUGGAAACUGGGGGGCUUGAGUGCAGAAGAGGAGAGCGGAAUUCCACGUGUAGCGGUGAAAUGCGUAGAGAUGUGGAGGAACACCAGUGGCGAAGGCGGCUCUCUGGUCUGUAACUGACGCUGAGGCGCGAAAGCGUGGGGAGCGAACAGGAUUAGAUACCCGCGUAGUCC